rnacentral:rRNA from 1 species
UGAUGCGGAGAAGGGUUUCGUGUGAACAGCCGUUGCACACGAGUCAGUCGAGCCUAAGCCCUAGGAGAAAUCCGAUGCAUGGCGCCUGCGGCCCGUCGGGCGAAAGGGAAUCCGGUUCCCAUUCCGGAACCCGGCCGCGGAACCGUCUCACGUCGGGCCCCCCGGCCGGAAGCUCGUCGGGGUAACCCAAAAAGACCCGGAGAAGCCGUCGGGAGGUCUGGGAAGAGUUUUCUUUUCUGUUUGAGCGCUCGGGUUCCCUGGAACUGUCUAGCACAGAGAGAGGGAAUGGGGCGCGUAGAGCACCGCAGUUGCGGCGGUGUCCAGACAUGCCCCUCGGACCUUGAAAAUCCGGGGACGGGCCACGUGGAGGUUCGCGCCGGAUCGUACCCAUAUCCGCAGCAGGUCUCCGAGGUGAAGAG